rnacentral:rRNA from 1 species
AUUGAACGCUGGCGGUAGGCCUAACACAUGCAAGUCGAACGCGAAAGUCCUUCGGGAUGAGUAGAGUGGCGGACGGGUGAGUAACGCGUAGGAAUCUAUCCUGUAGUGGGGGAUAACGUUUCGAAAGGAACGCUAAUACCGCAUACGCCCCAAGGGGGAAAGCGGGGGAUCUUCGGACCUCGUGCUAUAGGAGGAGCCUGCGUCGGAUUAGCUAGUUGGUGAGGUAAAGGCUCACCAAGGCGACGAUCAGUAGCCGGCCUGAGAGGGUGACCGGCCACACUGGAACUGAGACACGGUCCAGACUCCUACGGGAGGCAGCAGUGGGGAAUAUUGCACAAUGGGGGAAACCCUGAUGCAGCGACGCCGCGUGAGUGAAGAAGGUCUUCGGAUCGUAAAACUCUGUCCUUGGUGACGAAGGAAGUGACGGUAACCAAGGAGGAAGCCCCGGCUAACUACGUG